UAGGAAAUGGUGUAGCGGAGGCACUAAGAGUUUUGAUCUCUUCAGGGAGGGUUCAAGUCCCUUUUUCCUAG
rnacentral:tRNA from 1 species